rnacentral:lncRNA from 1 species
AAGUUGCCUUCUCGUGUAUCUCCUUCCAAUAUUGUUUUGCAUUUUAACAAACAAGGUGAGUAUUUUAUUAAAUCAGUCUACAAAUUCGCUGUAACUCUUUGUGAUCUGCAUACUACUGGGUCUUCUACCAUCCCUUGUGAUUGGCUAUAACUUUUGGAUUUUCUGGAGUAUGCUUAUUAUGUGUUGUCUGUUACUAACUUUCAGCUAUUGGUAACAGAGUAUUUAAGAGGUGUAUGAUAAUUCUUUAUGUGGGAAACAAGCCAUGUUUGCCUAUAGUGUGUUUACUUAUGCUUAGAGAGUUUUGGAUACCUUUAGUUUAUGGUAGAAUUACAAGCUAAUGGUGGUGAGAAUCAGGGGAUUCUAGGACAAAAUGAGUUCAGUAACUGGUAUAUUAUGUAAAAAUGUAAAUCUUGGUGCAAGCCGGGAAAAGCC